AACGAACGCUGGCGGCAGGCCUAACACAUGCAAGUCGAACGGAUCCUUCCGGAUUAGUGGCGGACGGGUAAGUAACACCUGGGAACGUGCCCGUUGGUUCGGAACAAUUCAGGGAAACUUGACCUAAUACCGGUUGUGCCCUUCGGGGGAAAGAUCUAUCGCCAUUGGAGCGGCGCGCGUCUGAUUAGCUAGUUGGUGAGGUAACGGCCAACCAAGGCGAGGAUCAGUAGCUGGUCUGGUAGCAUGACAUGGCACACUGGCCCUGAGGCACGGCCCACACUCCUACGGAAGGCAGGAGAGGAGUAUGUGACGGAAUGAGCGAAAGCGCGACGCCGCCAUGCCGGGUGAAUGAUGCAGGUCUUAGGAUAGUACUAUCGUUUCAGAGGGGGCGUUAAUGACGGUACCCGGAAAAGAAGCUCCGGCUAACUUCGUG
rnacentral:rRNA from 1 species